CAAGGACUAGUUUUUUAAAAUAUUUUUUAUGUUUUAUAUUUAUAUGUACUAGAAGUUGUAUAUUUUUAUGUACUAGAUUUUCAUAACUGAUUUACAAACUACUCAGUGUUUUAAGUUGUAUUUGUUCAGACAUUUAUUUAAUUAUUAAAGAUGAUAAUAUAAAAUUGAAACAAUUUAAUAAAAAAACUUUUUUACCACCUUUCCACACCUUUAUGUGGUAAAAACCACCGAAAACUUCCCUCAACCACCAAAAACUCAACCCCAACAACUCAUCAACUCAUCUUCUCAACUCCCAGCUCCUUCUCUGUUUACGGAGUGAUGUCAAAUCAGCUUGUUUCUAAGCUACUCGCUAUUGUCUGCUGUUGUUGCUUUGCUUUGAUUUCAGUCCAAGACGCUGCAUGAAUGUUUGAAAUUCACUAAAGUAGACCAGAACCAGUAGCCAGUCAGGCCUGUAACUGGAAAAAUGCACUUGAAGUAGCUGUUUAUGAGCUUUAUGUGCUCUGAAAAGAGCAAACAAAAGAUACUUUCAGCCAUGUUUUUCAUUCCACUUCUCACUUUUAACGUCCGGAGGGGGAAAAUGACAUCAUUACAACUUGCAAAUUAAAACUUACAAAGCACCACGAACGCCGCAUUAUUCUGAUGAACAAAUGUUUUUCAAACUUUCAUAUGGAAUGCUAGUAAUCACAUUUAUAAUUGAGCUUAAACAUAGAUAGAUAGAUAGAUAGACAGAUAAAUAGAUAGAUAGAUAGAUGCUAGUACACAUAGUCCUAAUCCCAGAUUGAGGACAUUUAUCCAUUUCUAUCAAUACUUUUAUGCCACACUAAAAAUAAUAAAUUCCCAGAGCUGGUGCUUAUCCAAGCAUAGCUAACCUCAUCCUAACACAUGAUGGCACUUAACGGAGUCCUGACAGGCCACGCUGAUUCAUUCUGCCAUUAAAAAAAAAAAAAACCUGUGGUUCUGUGCUCUGUUUCGUCUGAGGGCUUGAACUCCCCCGGUUAACCCUGGUUAACAUUUUCAGCUGCAGACCUAGCGGCCAUUAGCAGGUCAAGCCACCAGCAGCCCCGUGUGAAAAGGGGGAAACGAAGGACAGGCUCUAAUUGAGAGCAUUUUUUUCCCCUUUAAACAGAGACCUAGUUUGCUCAGUAAUGUUACAGACUUUAAGGAAAGAUUUAUGACUGGUGUCUUCAACCCAAUUGACCUGCACUUUCUGGCGCGUGGGCGCAGAGGCCAUCGUUUAAUUAUGCAUAUUUCAUGCCGAUCUGCGCGGACUGGCGGCUCUCCAAAUCGUUAUCAGGGCAACUCUGAAAGAAAUAGGUUUGUGAAAAUAUUGGUGCUCAUUAUAGCUAAUACAGUUAAUAAAAUCCUUGGCGUUUAUAUCAGGAUUUAAACAUGUUAUCAUUUUUCGUGGCACAUCAUUAAUUCCUGGUAAUCUGUUGUUUUGGAUGCAUCAGAUAUUCGUCCAAAUCUAGCUCAGAGUGUAAAUAUAUAAUGUUUCAGCUCCAAGACUGUAACUGUAUAAACAACUUAAUAAAUAAAUGAACAAUUCUAUUCUCCAUGGCGCCAUUAGCAUAACCGCUGGUAUAUUACACCACAGCUGUGUUGAAUUCUGGGUUCUGAUUGGUCAGAAGCUGUUGAUUCAUUUGCUCUAACAGCAGCUCUAACAGUAGCUUCUAUGUAAUUUGUACAAUGGACUCUACACAAUAACAGAUUAAAAAAAAAAUGCAUGUCAUGGUUGAUAUGGUGAGGUUUUCUUUAGAGAGACGUUCGUCUAACAUUUAUGGAAGGAGUCUCCAGUGUCAGCGCUUUGUAACAAUCAAAGGUUUUGCAACAGAGGAAAGUUUGUAGUUUCUAAUUACAUUUUAUUUUUGUUUUAUUUACUAAAGAGAGAAACAGAAAGAGCUGGGGAUAACUGUUAAUAGCUGCUAUAAUACAAGUGACAGGAACACCACAACCUUUAAUGUAACUAUAAAUUGAUAAAAAAUAUAAAAAAUUGUAAACGUUGGUAAAUCGCUGCAGUAUAAGAGGACUAAAACACUUUGCGACGUGCUGUUAUAUGAAAAUUUUUUACUUCUGGCUGGUAAUACCAUCACAUAGUUCAUUAUUUUCCUAUAACAGUAAACAAUAAUUAGAGUUUGUGUGUAUUUCAAACAUCACCCAAAGACCUAUUAGCCAAAUUAACCAGCUUGUCAAGGAGCUAGUCAAUUCUCUACACAUCUGUUAGCACAUAUCUCUCUGCUAACAGGAAAAAAAUAAAUAAAAAUCCCAUGCCACAGGCCCAAAUAUUCAUUAGCCAAGUUAGCUAGUAAAUUCGAUAGUUAAUUGUCUCUGCUACGUUCAUUAGCUUAGUUAGCUAGCUAGUCAAGUUUGCUAGUUAAUUUUCUCUGCUAACAUCGUUAGCAAGGUUAGCUAGCUGGUCAAUAUUGUAGUUUUCUAGAAUGACACAUAUUUCUCUACUAAGAGAUGAAGUAAAAUAUCACAUGUCUAGUGUUAAUAAAAGAAUCAUUAGCCAUGAGAGUUAGCCAGAUUUCUCUGCUAAAACCAUUAGCAGAGUCAUGUUACCUAGCUAAUGUACUCUACUAAGAUUAGCUACAUAUCUUUGCUAAUCUUUUCAAAUAUAUCUGAUAAAUUUUGGUUAAACAAUCAAGGCAAACAAGUAUUUUUUUUUUCAAAUUAGCAUUUUAUGAAAGUAUUAGAAACUACAGGUCAGUAUAUACUAUAAAAUAUGACAUACAUUAAAAUAAGAAUGUAUUUUUUUAUAUAUAUAUUACAUAAAACUAAUUGGAGAACACUAAAACCACAUUUGAAUCUGUUGUCUGUUAAAAAAUCAAUGCCAGUCUCCGGGGAAGCCUUCCAGGAAGAGUGCAGUGUGUGGCCUUUCGAGAACUUUAAUAUGCAUAUCGAUGUGAUUCCAGGAGGACGAAAUAAACGUGUAAACACUACAAACCAAAAAUGAAAUGCAAUAAUUCAAGGUCACAUAGGUAAAAUGAUCUCCACCCUGAAACUACGGCUAUUGCUGCUUAUUUUGAUGGAUUUGGUGUGCAAGCAGCCUGAUGGUCCGAAAAUGCACAGCGGUGUGUGGCCAUGCAUCUGUGACAGGGUUGGAAGACAUCAAGAGGCAAGAAAGAUUUUUCUUUUUUUAGCCAGUCUGGAAAUGAGGUGCUGGAUGCUUGAUUGCCCUCCAUCUCUGCCUGUCUGGCCAUCAGGGGGGAUGAGUGUGGGUGACUGGUGCAUCGAUAUGAAACCCUGGACAGAGCAAAAAGCCCUUAGUCUGCGAGUGGUGCAGCUCGUUAUACCAAAACAAUAAACUCUCAAUGACAAGGUGCAAAGAGACAUGGAAAUAUGAAGAAGAAGAAACGGAAAGAAGGAGCCACAAACUCAGAAGAGGGGAUAUAAACCGAGUCACUCAAGGGACUUCUUUUUUUUUUUUUUUAUCCCUAGCAGCCGGUUGUUAGAGGGAGGCAUUAAUUCCGUGAGAGUCUUCUUCCCUGUGAUUCUGUUGGCAGGCAGCUAGAUAUUACAAGGUCAGCUCUUCCCCUUUCGGCCUGCCGAGCUUUUCACAAGAUCCACACAGUGACUAGCUAAGGAACCAAGCCAGGGAAGGCUCGCCUGAUUAGCUCUGUAUAAACAGAAAAACACACAUAAACACUGCACUAUCUGCAGCCAACUAUUGCUUGCCUACAGAUUCUCUUGGAGCUCUUGCUGCUUCUGUUCAGCAAAAUAUUUCCAGUGCAGCUUGUGCGCCUUAUUCAGUUUUUUUUUUCAUUGCAAUCUGUAAUCCAAAAAAGCAUCAAUGCUUCAUUAUAACCAAAAUGAUUUCACAUUUAUUUGGAAUAUCUGACAGCACAAUUAGCUAUCUUAGCUCUUAUGCCAGAUUGGGUUUGAAGUGUGGAUUGUGACUGGGAUCCUAUGAGAAUCAGCAAAAAGUUGCAGGAGCAAAGGGUCAGAUAUGAAGCUCACAGAGAAAGGCUGCGGUAAUAAUCAUGUUGCAUGACGCAGUUACCAUGUUCACUCAUUCAUCAUGGAAAGGUACAAACAAAAAUCUGCAGGAGCGGGUUGGACUUGUCAGAUUUUCUGUGGGUGGGAUUGAUCGAGUGUCUGCGAGAAUUUGUGGAAUUGAUCAAAAUUUCUGUGGGAGUGGUGGGAUUGGUCAAGAGUGCCUACGGUAGCAGGCGGAAUUGGUCAAUAAUGUUUGAGGGAGUGGCCAGGAUUGGUCAAGAGUUGCUGUGGGAGUGGCCAGGAUUAGUCAAACAUCCUAUGUGAGCGAGUGAGCGAGUGGGAUUGGUCAAAUUUUCUGUGGGAGUGUGCAGGAUUGGUCAAGAGUGUCUGCGGGAGAGGGCAGGAUCGGUCAUAUUUUCUGCAGGAGUGGGUAUGAUUGCUCAAUAGUGUCAAUGGGAGCAAGUGUGAUUAGUCAGACUUUCUUCAAGAAUAAGCAGGAUUGGUCAGGAAUGCCUGCAGGAGCAAGUGGGAUUGGCAAACUUUUUCCAGGGUCAAGAGUGUUGGUCAAGAGUGUCUGCAGAUCGGAUUACAUACUCUUACCUAUUCUCUUAUUGCACACUGAAUCUUGCUGUACUUGCACAGUGACUGUAAAGAUAUUCAUAUUCGUAUUAGCCUGCAACUUUUUCAUCUUCAGGGCCUUGAACAGAUUUUUUUUUCUUUUUUCCAAUUUUCUCCUAUUUCUCCCAAGUCAAAGUAAAUUCCCACCUGGUAGCCGAGUCUCACCUUUGCAGAAUAGGAACCAGUUUGGGAGGGUGAAGGCUCUGAGCCAUUUUAAACUACUGUGAUAUCUCAGGCCAGCUGAAUGCAGUUGGAAGAGGGCAUAACUCAUAACUGGAUUAUUCUGUAUACUGAGGAAGAUCCUUGAUCUUACAUGUGGAUAAAUGAUUGCACCCCUACAAGUAGUGUUAAGGGGUCAUUAGAGGUUCCUCAAAUCCCUUUAUAUGUUUAUGAUAUCUACACUCAUGAACACACACUGAGAUUGUGUUAGUACUUCAGAGAUCAGCAACCGUGAACUAACAAGCACCUCAGAAUAUUGCAAAAAAAUAAAAUAAAAUCUUGUCACUGUCCAAAAGGUUAUGCAAUCUAACAGCACCCCUACCUAAGAAGAUGCAGAUGCAGCACAUAAGUGAAAUGUUGAUUAGUAAAUAAAGCAUAAAUCUCCUCACCAGAUUUCCUAUGGCUCAGCCUUCAUUAAGCUCGCAUUCUCAACCCAGACUCAAUGGAUCCAACCAUGAUGCUUAUAAAAACACGUCCAUGUAGUCAAGAAUGACAUCAAUCACACUCUAAUCUUUACAUUGACUUUAUGAGGUUCCUUUACAAAUGAGAUCCCAAGAGAGCCAUCCAGAAUGAGGAAUAUACAGUAUACCCAGUGCAGCAGCUUACUCGAGAGGAUGAUGUAACUCUAGGAUAGAGCUUGCUGUAAAUAUGGACCAAAGAUAUACCUUUUGCUGGAGCUGGAUUUAGACAAACUUUUUUUUUUUUUUAACUGCCAGCAUUUCCACUGGUUUACAAGAUUUUACAAGCUGUGGAGUUAAGGACAUAUUUGCACACCCAAGGGCACAUCCCUGCACAUGUAUUCAUAACACAAAGAUGUCUUUAAAGAUAACAAUUAGGUGCUAGGUGCUAAAUAUAAGAUUCAAGUUCUGAGGGUGCAACUGAUCAAAGAAGGUUCUCUUAGCAUUACCAUUACUAAUGUAGCUUCCAUUUAGUUUGUUGCAAUUGCCAGUAAACUAAUUAACUUCUAUUUUUUUGGCAAUUACUCUCCAGUUUUUUUUUUAAGAGGUCCAUAACUUGAGUUGUCAUGUCAACAAGAUGUCAAUGCCCCAAAGCCUCUGUUGAAACCAGGACUGUAAACUAGCUGUCGUUUGGUCCUAGAACUGAUCUGAUUUUUGUCUGAGAAUCAGCACUUUUAUGUGUGGAAAGGUUCGAGAUUAGGUACUGGAUCGGGAACUGGGGAGACCUGGGUUCCUCUCCUGUUUGAUUUCAAGCAAACCUGGGCUUUGAGAUAUUUUUUUACGUUCUUAUACCACAUGGUACUUCUCACAGGGAAACAUCUCACAGGGUUAUAACGCAUUCACCAUGAGCAAUCAUCAUGCAGUGUGUUUUUGCAGCACCAUCUCAGGGGCUUUGACAGUUUUGAUCUCAAUGCUAAUUAGACAUGGGAACAUAAGUGUCUUUACUUUCAAGCUACAUAAGAGCACUAGGGCACUGCUUCAUCCUCCACUGCAAAAUCUUGAUGGACACUUUUAAAAGAGAAAAGACCAAGAUCUUUAGUGAAUGAUGUUGUGGUCAGCAAGCAACCAAUCACUUGUCCUAAUCUUAAUGACUAAAAACCAUAAUAAUGCACAAGUUGGCAAACAUCAGUGAUUCUCUGGAUAGUUAAGGGGUCUUAUGAUCUUAGAAAAUAAGGUUCUUCAAUGGUUCUUCAAUGGUUCAUAGGAUAAAUAGGGAUUCUUAGCUUCCUAAAAGGGUUCUACUUUUACACACUAUUGUAUGGUUCUACAUAGAAACUUUAGGAUGCUAUUUAGGAUGCUAGAUGAAACUAGGCUUACUCCCAUCACACCCACCAACACCCUUAGAAUCAAGGGUUCUUCAGUGGUUCUUUGGAUGGUCAACAAAUCUUGCUUUCUAACUGGGUUAUACUUGGAGACUUCUCCAAUAAAAACACCUUCUGGUGAAGGCUUUUAAAUAAUACAUUCAAGUUUAUCACUAAGAAGGACAAACCAAGCAACGCUUUAUGGUGCUGGACUAGGUAGAACUUUCUGUGAGCAUUUUCCUCAUGCUAAUUUAUUUGGGUCAUUUGUCUGCUGCGGUACUUCCAUGCUUUCUUUACCUCUUCCACAUGGAGGAUUGGCAGUCUCUUGUACGCCAUACUUAGCUUCACAGUAUGGUUGUUAAAAAAAAAAAAAAAAACGUGAUAAAACUGUGUGGAGAUGUUUUAAGCUUGACAGUGCUAAUUGGGAUGUGCUGACAGGUCGUUAUUAAAGCUCUACCGAGUAUGAGGAGAACAUGCACCUGCCCAUUACUAUCAUGAAGUGCGAGAAGCAGAUACGGAAAUGGAAAAAUAGGAAAAUAGAGAAAACAUACUUCAAGGGUUCUUCAUGGAGUCUUUGGAUGGUUAAGGUUUCCUAACUUGGAAACAUCUUUGAGAGGGAAAUGAUUUUGGAUGUGACUUGCUUAACAAAACUCUAAACAACCAAAUUGAUGAAGUGGAAGCAGAUGAAAUCCACCUAAUGCAAUAGGUGGAGAUGGAAGGAAAAAAAUCACACGAGGAGUGCAGCCAUAUUUAUUUGAGCCUGUACAACCAACCAGUAAUGGAGGUGGUGACUUGGAUGCCGAAAUCGUGAGCAUCUUGAGCAACUGGAGGUGAAGCAUCACAUUAAACAAUCGUAUAUUAUAUCUUUUUUCUACCCCCAAUUCUAGUGUGACAAAAAAAAAAAAACAGGUGGGGAAAGAUUUCAACACUUUAGUGGGAUUUUAAAUUCUGCAGACAAAUAUAUAUAUAUAAAACUAAAAAAAUAAAUAUAUAUAACAGCAUCUGACCAAAGAUGUGAGUUAUAGUUUAGAAGUAUAGCUAGACAUUCCUUAAGGUCUUUUUUUGUAAGAGUGUGGAAUUGAAGACAAUAAAAACAGAAAAGAAAAGAUGGAAAGAUGAAGAAAGAAAUUGCGGCCAGUCCACGUUUUGGCUGAAGCAGUUAAGUGAAUUACUGUAGUUACCACAUGUUGGAGAUUCAGCAUGAAGUUUGUAAUCUGUGAAAAAAAUAAAAUAGCAAUCCAACCUCCAGGUCUUGUGAUAUUUAAGGAAGGAAAAAUACUGCAAAUCUAACUGUCAGAAUGCAAGCGAAAAAAGAAAAGUGCACUGACUCUCAUCGCUUUUUGGGGAGCAUCAGUCGAAAGACCAAUUUUCCCCACAUUUAUUUCCCUCUCUCGCUGCUCACUUUUGGUAGACAGAUUCUCCACUUCUAUACAACGAGAGCAGAUAUGUUUUAAAUUGCACACACUGACUGCAGGUGAAGAUGCAGAACCUCAAAUAAGUGGUUCAACCUCCGACUUUCCAAAGACGUGCAUGAAAUAUAAGUUCCCUCGCCUCAUUAAACCCACAAUGCUUAUUUCCACUGCAUCAAAAGGUAAGGGCUCAUAAGCAAUGAUCGAUUGUCUCAUUGUUCCUCUAAUCGCCUUCAAAUUGCUGCCGUAUUUCUCAACCUUGCCCGUGGGUCGGGAGUCGUUCAGUGCGAGUUUUUGUUUUGGAGAGCCCGUGCCGCAAUGUUCUUCCACAUUUCAUUUCAUCAGGGCACAAAAACCCCAGUGGCACUCUGCAUUUGAGGAAUAUUAAUUUUCCCCAGAGCUCUUAUUAAUGAACUGCUUCGUUAAUGAACCAAUUCCCCACCUUGAUGUCUUUGAGGACUUCCGUGGUGCUCUCUUGCAGUCUCAACUCUACGUGGUCCUUAGCAGACAGCACAAAUUCUAACAUGGCUCUGGGUGCAAAUGUUUACACACCCACAUAAUGGGGUGAGAGGCAGAAAAAUGGCGGGCUUAAUGGCAACGAUUGUGCAUCCAUGCCUUUAAAAUAAGACAUAGCUAGGUGCAUGCAAAAUAUUUUUGCUUCGAGCCAGAAUGCAGAUGCAGUUAAGAGAGAAUGUUAGAAUAUUGAGUAAAUAUUCAACAGGUUAUUAGAAGGUUAGCGUGCAACAUUCCUGCAAUGUUAUGACAUCAUUUAAUUAAUGGUUUGCUUCAAAAUGUUGCUCACACAACAUUUCCACAACAUUCCUACAACCUAAAAUGUUGCAACAAUGUUUUAGGAAUAUUUGUCGUGCUGUUACAGAAAAAUGAUCAAAGACGGAGUGGUGUGAUGAAGCAGAGUUACUGUUACCACUAUUCUUAUACCAUGGUAAGUUUCCAACGAUUACAAUUGUUUAUUUUUUAAAGAACAUCUCAUUCUGUCAUGUCAAACUUUUCAUCCGUUUAUAGUUACAUUUAUAGUCAUUUAAGUCUCCUAUUGUAUGUUUGCUGUCUCACUGAUAAUGAAGCUUAAGCCUCACUUCCUGCUUCUAACUGAAACUGAAUACACAUGGAGCAAUCUUCCCUGCCAGGAAAAAGCCUCAUUCAGGAAUUAACACAAAUUAGUGAUUCAGGGCAGCAUCUGUAAAUGCAAAUAAAUCCAAUAUAGUUUGCGAAUCACCUCAAUGUCAUCAAAUUAGCAACACACAGAAGAACGACUUCUGACCCGUCAGUUCAGAGAAAACUGCUUCUUUCUGAUCGACUGUACGUUGUAUCAAAGAGGCUGAUUAACAGCCAUAUUGGGUCUGGUCUGAUGGGAUCGGCUCUCUUGCUCAUGCUCGAUGAAUUCAUUAACGCAUGGCAGAAAAAAGCCAGAACCUUUGGCACUUGCCAAUCAGAGUGUAAAGCUCUCUAAUCUCGCCUGCAUCUCAGAUAAGAAGCCCGAGACCCGCCAGUCAACUGCAUCAAAUUGAUCAAUCACAUGCCUACGUGACAUAGAAGCCCAUUACGCUAGCUACACCGCUGUUUCCUUUUAGCUAGCGUACUGAUUAGCAGCUAGCAACCAUAUAAUCUUCUUCUAAAUUCCUUAGAGGAAAAAUAUACGCAUCUACCAAAUCAAUGCUCUUUUUUCUUGUCACGAGUAUUAGCAUACAUUUUGUUUUAAAAUAUGUUAUUGAUAAACGAAUAAAGCAGUUAUUGGUAGUAAAUUUGAACUUUUGUAGUGUAUAUACAAAUUGGAAUUUUUCAAAAUAAAUUAAUAAGACAGGGUUUUUUAUUGAAACUAACAAACAAAACAAACAAAUAAAGAGCUAGCUAGCUAGCUAUAUAGAUAGAUAUUCAGUUCUUCUCUGACUCAUUAUAUUUGUGUACGAGGUCAGAUCGGUUUUCAGAUUGUGUUUAAUUCACUUACAGUGUGUCGUUUUCAUGACCACACGAAUACUCUGAUAAAUUCCCCCAAAUGCACUCUAUAAGGUGUGAAUUGUUAAAAACUCACACUAUUAUAAUUUAGUACAAAUUAUUUAAUUCAGUGUGAAUUCUGCAAGUCUGAUAGCUCAGAAUUCGUCCAACUUCAACCCAGCGCUCACACUUCCUAAUCACACUUAUAUUCUUGUACCUCAGUGCCAAUGAAAGGGCAUGGCCUCAGAAUAAUUAUCAUAAUUAAAUAGCACAUUAAGAUGCUGUUGAAAUAUGCAUGACCAGCAGAUGGGUGCAAGCUUCUACAGUUCCCUCUGUCUGUCUUCUCCUCUCUUCCUCGUUCUUUCUGUCUCUUUCAGGAGAGGAGAGCUCUUCAGAGGAGGACACCAUCUGUAGGUGUCCAAGUGGUUGAAAAUCUCAAAAACCUCUCUGAAACGAUCAUUUGUAAAUGCUAGACUUCUCAAGGAGCAAUUCAGCCAAUGAGCAGUGACACUGAACUGAACAACCACUCUGAACGGGAGCGGUGACUUUCAGCUGAACGAGACAUAAAAAUCCUCACGUAAAAACCGCACAUGGUAAAUAAACAUCUGGUCUAAUAAUAGGGCACCAUGAUUUUAGACAAAAAAUAAAUACAUUCCACAACUAUUUUUACAUUGGUAAAGAUAUUGUUGUUUAAUCUGCCACAGUAUAUUGGAGCUGAAAUUAAAUAAUGAAUAAUGAAGUGCAGACUUUCAGCUUUAAUUUGAGGGUAUUUACAUUCAAAUCAGCUGAAUGGUGUAGAAAUUACUGCGCUUUUUAUGUGUGAUCCCCACUAGAGUUGAUUAAGUGUGGCAUUUACAGUUGGAAUCUGUUGCUCUUAACUCUCAAUAUGAAGUCCAAAGAGCUGUCACUGCCAGUGAAGCAAGGCUGAAAAAUCAAAACAAACCCAUCAGAGAGAUAGCAAAACCAUGAGCUGUGGCCAAAUCAACUAUUUGGUACAUUCUUAAAAAGCAAGAACACACUGGUGAGCUCAGGAACACCAAAAGACCCAGAAGACCACGGAAAACUACUGUGGUGGAUGACAGAAGAAUUCUUUCCCUGGUGAACACCCUCCAGGAGGUCGGCAUAUCUGUGUCAAAGUCAACAAUCAAGAGAAAACUUCACCAGAGUAAAUACCACAAGAUUUACCACAAGAUGUACACCGCUGGUAAGCCUCAAAAACAGAAAAACUUCCAAAAAAAUCCUGUACAGUUCUGCACCAACAUCCUAUGGACAGCUGAGACAAAGAUCAACUUGUAGCAGAAUGAUGGAAAGAGAAGUGUAUGGAGAAGGGAAGGAACUGCUCAUGAUCUGAUGCGUUCCAAGUGGUUCUCUUGUAUUUAUUGAUGGUGUGAAUUAAAACUGAAAGUCUGCACUUUAUUCAUUUAAUUUCAACUGCAAUAUACUGUGGAAGACAGCUAAAAUAACAAAUAUUUAGGGACCUGACUGUGUAUUUGUUAAAAAUGUAAUAGAAGUAUUCGAACUUAAUUUCAGAGGAGAAACAAAGGAAUAGGAAAUGGGCAAAAGCAACAAGUGAUAUUUUUCAAAAUUGUAAUCUGAUUUCUUGCUUUAAAUAAAUGACAAUCAUUUUCGAAAUAUAAUUUAAAUAAUAUUUAAAAAAUAAUAAAAUGACUUUAAAAUAAAUAUUGAUUUAAAUAAAUGAAAAAAAUCCCUGGAUUUAUUUAUUUGUUUGUUUGUUGCUGAUUGAUUGAUUGAUUGCCAAUUUACUAGAAGGAUGUAAAUAAUUCUAGACCAUAUUAAGAACGAGUGCAUUAAUAUAAACCUGUGAUUUGCAGCUGCAUUACUGUCAGAGCUGCUGUUAUAGAAAAUUAAUCAACACCUUCUGACCAAUCAGAAUCCAGAAUUCAACAGCGCUGUGGUUAUAAAGUACCGAUAAACACCAAGUCUUUGACUGCACUGGAGUAAUAAAUAUGCAAGUUUGUUGAUUUGCAUUUAACUGCGAGCUCUCAUAGCCCUUUAGCAUAUGUGUGUGUGUGUGUGUGUGUGUUCUUUACUGAUGUAUGUUCUCAGCAGGCAUUUUUAGGCACAAUCUCGUCUCGGCCUCCCUUGAACACACACAUUAAAAGCGCUGGGGGUCCCGCAGUGCUCAGAGUUUGUUAGCUGAACUGGUAGAUAGCGCUCUUUGUACGUAAGUCUUUAUCCGUUAUCCAGAGAAAGGGGGAUAUAUAUCACUCCAUCUCAGGUCCAGAGAGGAGCUGUGCCCUAGAUAAACACUCUGGAGGAGAUGAAGACCUCCAUUCAAACAAACAGCCUGAAGACACGCUCCUGUCACUGCUCUCAAAGAGGACGAGCAAAGACAAAGUUCAAGAACUCUGAGAAUAAAAAUUAGUUACAAAAAAUAAGUAAAAACAUUACUUAUUAAAUACAUUAACAAAAUAAUUCACUCAGUUAACUAGCUACCUAUUAGGAAAACCUGUUAACAAAUAUAUUUUAAUUAAAGCUACAAAGCUGUAUUUCUUUCAAGCAAAAAAAAAUUCCACAUGUAUUAACGUAUUAGUCAUAUUCAUAUCAAUAUCAAUUAUUUUUUACAUAAAUCAGAAACUCUGAGUCCUUUCCAUUGCUGUCUCAACAAACAGGAAUGCUACACUGAUAAAUAUGUAAAAAGAAAUGCCAGAAAACAUCCUUUGCCAUGAAAAUUAUAUAUAAUUUUAUAAAUAAAUAUAUAAAUAAAUGUUGUUGUUCUUUUGGCUGACUACUUUUAUUUUUGUAUUUCUUCCCAUAUCUUUUAAACAAAUGUAUAAAACACAAAGUAAAACAUAUAAAGUGAAUGCUAUCUCAUUUAUAGAGUCUCUCUUUUUUGUGGCUGAAUCUUAAAUGUUUGAAAUCUAGUGCACUAUACAGGGUCCACAGUGUCCCUCAAUAUUACACCCUAUGUAGUGAGCACAUAUAGUGAGGAUUGUGAUGCACUGUGCUGUUUUGAUAAUGUCUAUGACAAUAUAAAGUUAUUUAUUUUACAGUAGAACACAAUAAUAUUUAAAUAUCUUCAAUUACUUUUUUUUAUUUCAUUACAUUUUAAAUGUGGAAUAUUUCAAACUACAGUGCUAGUAAGGAUAAAGCUAACAUUUAGCCAUACCAUUAAACCAUGAUCCCUAGCCUUGCAAAUAAAACAUGUUGUAAAAAUGUCUCCAUAUUUCCUACAGCCGACGUUUGUGCUAUGAAUUAUUUAUCAGCGCGAGAGGACAUUCAGCUGGAUGCCUUGUCUCGAGAAAGCGACAGUAGCGUAUAACGUCAGUGUGAAGUGAGCUAUCUUUAGCUGAGGUCAUGCAGGAAAAAAAAAAUCACACUGAGGAACGUUGGGCUUGUACCAAAGUCCAUCAAGUACGUGCUAAAAAAAACAUGCAGUUGACAUGACGACAUGCGAAAGGAGAAAGCGUUUAGUGCAGCAGCUCCUCUGGGGGAAUUCAGGCGGGGAUAGAGUUGUGCUGCGGCGUAUUUUUGACAGAAUGUGUGUAUGAGGUCUAUUUUUGGUAAUAUAUGCUGCUUUUCUUGCAGUAAGCAAGUAGGACUGCUUCCAGUCUCUCAACUCGGGAGAACCAGAACAGCACAACAGCACUUACAGCCUUAUCUGGAGGUUUGCACGAGAAAUGAAAUAUAUCCUCAGUGGCUAUGUUUACAUGCAAGCUAAUUAUCUGCUAAUAACCAGACUAGGGAUAACAUCGAUAACAAACAUUUACUUAUAAAAAAUACUCUGAUAUCAACAUCCAAUACCAGGUGAUGUACCUGACAUAAGUCUAGCAUACGGUGCCGUGCUAAUAAACAGAUGACGUGAAACGACAGUGUUCUGGACGUAUCUCACCAUUAAUGCCAGCGAUUAAAGCAAAGCAGGCUGCAAACUGUGAGAAAAUAUCAAGAGCCUGGACUAUAUCUUCCUACAAUACCUGCACCUGAUAAAAAACUCUGCAUGAGGAGUUCACUGCUAGAAGAAAACGCUAGCUAGGUGAGAAAAAUGUCUACCGUCAACGCUAGGUGUGAAAUCGGAAAAGGUGUGAGGCGAUCUAUCACUCGUAUAUUACUCGUAUAACUAUUCUGACACAAUGUAAACAGAAACGCACUUUACGUACAGCUGGUGUUUACUGCAAUCCUACUCCAUCCAAGCUAACUAGUGUAGCUAGCUAACGCAUGCCAUUUAAAUUCAACUAGCUAACGUUAUAAAGAUCUGUGUGCGCUUCACAAUAACUGAAUUCUGUAUUAACGCAGCAGGUUUUAAACCAAUAAAAUCGGCAAACUUAAGCCGCUGUGGUUCAGCGAAUGCUGAAAGCUUUGUCCGUUUUGUUAGCAACCAAAGAUUACUACAUUAGCAACCAAAGAUUACUACAUUACAUGGUGGAAGAAUUAUUUAUUGUGAAUAUUAUUAAUAAAAUUUGAAAUCAUUUGUUGAACACUGGACUAUAUUGAGGGUUUUUUUAACCACCAUUUUAUAAACGCAAUCUUUUAGAUCCUGGGAUUUCAGCAGGUGUAACUCUGCAUUGCGCUCAUGUCUAAAAACACUCUUACCCGUGAUAAGUGAUAAAAUUAGUUCGAGGCAGAUGAGUGACGUGAAUUGACGUGAAAUCGGUAUCAGUUCAGCAUUUAAUAUUCAUCAGGAAUUCAGCAAGAAUGCAGAACAAUCGUUUA